rnacentral:rRNA from 1 species
GACGAACGCUGGCGGCGUGCCUGACACAUGCAAGUCGGACGGUUCUUGCACCUUCAAGCUUGCUUGUUGGUUCAAGGAUAGUGGCGGACGGGUGAGUAACGCGUGAACACCUACCCAUUGGAGGGGUACAACCCGUCGAAAGGCGGGCUAAUACCGCGUAAGCCGUGAGGUGAAAGGCUGCUCUUUGGUGGCUGCCGAUGGAUGGGUUCGCGUCCUAUCAGCUGGUUGGUGGGGUAACGGCCUACCAAGGCUAAGACGGGUAGCCGGUCUGAGAGGAUGGCCGGCCACACUGGAACUGAGACACGGUCCAGACUCCUACGGGAGGCAGCAGUGGGGAAUCUUGGGCAAUGGGGGAGACCCUGACCCAGCGACGCCGCGUGAGGGAUGAAGGUUUUCGGAUCGUAAACCUCUGUUGUACGGGAAGAAGGACUUGACGGUACCGUACGAGGAAGCCCCGGCAAACUACGUGCCAGCAGCCGCGGUAAGAUCACGUGUA